rnacentral:rRNA from 1 species
GACGAACGCUGGCGGCGUGCCUAAUACAUGCAAGUCGAGCGCAGGAAAUCGACGGAACCCUUCGGGGGGAAGUCGACGGAAUGAGCGGCGGACGGGUGAGUAACACGUAAAGAACCUGCCCUCAGGUCUGGGAUAACCACGAGAAAUCGGGGCUAAUACCGGAUGGGUCAUCGGACCGCAUGGUCCGAGGAUGAAAGGCGCUUCGGCGUCGCCUGGGGAUGGCUCUGCGGUGCAUUAGCUAGUUGGUGGGGUAAUGGCCCACCAAGGCGACGAUGCAUAGCCGACCUGAGAGGGUGAUCGGCCACACUGGGACUGAGACACGGCCCAGACUCCUACGGGAGGCAGCAGUAGGGAAUCUUCCACAAUGGACGAAAGUCUGAUGGAGCAACGCCGCGUGAACGAUGAAGGCCUUCGGGUCGUAAAGUUCUGUUGUAAGGGAAGAACAAGUGCCGCAGGCAAUGGCGGCACCUUGACGGUACCUUGCGAGAAAGCCACGGCUAACUACGUGCCAGCCGCCGCCGUAA